AGUGAACGCUGGCGGUAUGCCUAACACAUGCAAGUCGAACGGCAGCACAGUAAUAGCUUGCUCUUACGGGUGGCGAGUGGCGGACGGGUGAGGAAUACAUCGGAAUCUACUUUUUCGUGGGUGAUAACGUAGGGAAACUUACGCUAAUACCGCAUACGACCUACGGGUGAAAGCAGGGGAUCUUCGGACCUUGCGCGAUUGAAUUAGCCGAUGUCGGAUUAGCUAGUUGGCGGGGUAAAGGCCCACCAAGGCGACGAUCCGUAGCUGGUCUGAGAGGAUGAUCGGCCAAACUGGAACUGAGACACGGUCCAGACUCCUACGGGAGGCAGCAGUGGGGAAUAUUGGACAAUGGGCGCAAGCCUGAUCCAGCCAUACCGCGUGGGUGAAGAAGGCCUUCGGGUUGUAAAGCCCUUUUGUUGGGAAAGAAAAGCAGCAGGUUAAUACCCCGCUGUUCUGACGGUACCCAAAGAAUAAGCACCGGCUAACUUCGUG
rnacentral:rRNA from 1 species